rnacentral:rRNA from 1 species
AGGGGAGCGGCAGACGGGUGAGUACGCGUGGGAACAUACCCUUUGGUUCGGAAUAACUCAGGGAAACUUGAGCUAAUACCGGAUACGUCCGUAAGGNNNAAGAUUUAUNNNNNNNGGAUUGGCCCGCGUCCGAUUAGCUAGUUGGUGAGGUAACGGCUCACCAAGGCUACGAUCGGUAGCUGGUCUGAGAGGAUGAUCAGCCACAUUGGGACUGAGACACGGCCCAAACUCCUACGGGAGGCAGCAGUGGGGAAUAUUGGACAAUGGGCGCAAGCCUGAUCCAGCCAUGCCGCGUGAGUGAUGAAGGCCUUAGGGUUGUAAAGCUCUUUUGUCCGGGAAGAUAAUGACUGUACCGGAAGAAUAAGCCCCGGCUAACUUCGUGCCAGCAGCCGCGGUAAUACGAAGGGGGCUAGCGUUGUUCGGAAUCACUGGGCGUAAAGCGCACGUAGGCGGACCGUUAAGUCGGAGGUGAAAGCCUGGGGCUCAACCCCAGAACUGCCUUCGAUACUGGCGGUCUUGAGUAUGGUAGAGGUUGGUGGAACUCCGAGUGUAGAGGUGAAAUUCGUAGAUAUUCGGAAGAACACCAGUGGCGAAGGCGGCCAACUGGACCAUUACUGACGCUGAGGUGCGAAAGCGUGNGGAGCAAACAGGAUUAGAUACCCUGGUAGUCCACGC